rnacentral:rRNA from 1 species
UACCAGCACCCCGAGUGGUCGGGACGAUUAUUGGCCUAAAGCAUCCGUAGCCGGUCCUGCAAGUCUUCCGUUAAAUCCAGCUGCUCAACAGAUGGGCUGCGGGGGAUACUACAUGGCUAGGAGGCGGGAGAGGCAAGCGGUACUUUAUGGGUAGGGGUAAAAUCCGUUGAUCCAUAGAAGACCACCAGUGGCGAAGGCGGCUUGCCAGAACGCGCUCGACGGUGAGGGAUGAAAGCUGGGGAGCAAACCGGG